GAGUUUGAUCCUGGUUCAGAUUGAACGCUGGCGGCAGGCCUAACACAUGCAAGUCGAGCGGAUGACGGGAGCUUGCUCCUUGAUUCAGCGGCGGACGGGUGAGUAAUGCCUAGGAAUCUGCCUGGUAGUGGGGGACAACGUUUCGAAAGGAACGCUAAUACCGCAUACGUCCUACGGGAGAAAGCAGGGGACCUUCGGGCCUUGCGCUAUCAGAUGAGCCUAGGUCGGAUUAGCUAGUUGGUGGGGUAAUGGCUCACCAAGGCGACGAUCCGUAACUGGUCUGAGAGGAUGAUCAGUCACACUGGAACUGAGACACGGUCCAGACUCCUAUGGGAGGCAGCAGUGGGGAAUAUUGGACAAUGGGCGAAAGCCUGAUCCAGCCAUGCCGCGUGUGUGAAGAAGGUCUUCGGAUUGUAAAGCACUUUAAGUUGGGAGGAAGGGCAGUAAGCUAAUACCUUGCUGUUUUGACGUUACCGACAGAAUAAGCACCGGCUAACUCUGUGCCAGCAGCCGCGGUAAUAC
rnacentral:rRNA from 1 species